CGCGGCGGUACCUGCUCUCGCCGCCCUUCCCGGACCCCGGAUCCCAGCGCUCGGGCCCCCGAAGGCCGACGCGCACCCCACGCCCACCGGACCCCCGCCAUGCGCGGCCUCGGGCUCCUGCUGUUCGCCGCGCUGGGGCUGCAGGGGGUCACCCCCGGGGCCGCCCUGCCCCACGUGGAGCAGUACGAGGUGGUGACGCCCCGGCGCCUGGGUGUACCCCGUGCUCGGCGGGCUCUGCCCUCCCGCCUGGGCCUGUACCCAGAGAGUGUCAGCUACGUCCUGGGGGCCCGAGGGCACACCUUCACCCUGCACCUUCGGAAGAACAGGGACCUGGUGGGCUCCGGCUACGCAGAGACCUACACGGCCACCAACGGCUCCCAGGUGACAGAGAAGCUGCAGAGGCAGGUAGGGCCCCCGUGCCCCUGCCCCAGGCCAGCAGCGGGGGCGGGGAGCCAGGCACGGGGGUGGGGUCCUCACACCCCCCUUCCGCAGGACCACUGCUUCUACCAGGGCCGCGUCGAGGGGCACCCGCGCUCGGCCGCCAGCCUCAGCACCUGCGCCGGCCUCAGGGGCUUCUUCCAGGCGGGCCCCGCCGUCCACCUGAUCGAGCCCCUGGCGGGGGCAGGGGAGGAAGGCCCGCACGCCCUGUACCUGGCGCAGCACCUGCAGCAGGAGGCUGGCACCUGCGGCGUCGAUGACCGCAGCCUGGACAGAGUCCUGGGGCCGCGGGUGUCUGCAGCCCUCAGACCGCGGGUGAGUGGAGGCCCGACGCUUCCUGCCGGCUCUGCUUGGGCCCGCGCGCCCCCAGACUGCUGGCUGCUCAGCGACGGGGAGGGGGUGGGUGGGCCUGCGUCUGGCUCCGCCCCGAAGCGGCAGAGCCCCCGACCCCGCCCCCCACCACGGCUCCCCCAGUGCUGGCGAGGGCCGGGCGCCAGCUCCAGGCCCGGGAGGGGGUCAGCAUGUGGCGAUGGGCUGAGGACAGGAGGGCUGUGGCUAGUGGCUGACUGGAUUCCUGUUACCGCUUCUCAAAAGUGGUCAGAACCCAGAGAGACCCGCUACGUGGAGCUGUUCGUGGUCACGGACAGCACGGAGUUCCAGCGGUUUGGGAGCAGAGAGGCCAUGCGUCAGCGGGUGCUGGAGGUGGUCAACCACGUGGACAAGCUCUAUCAGGAGCUCAAUUUCCGCGUGGUGCUCGUGGGCCUGGAGAUGUGGAAUGGUGGGGACAAGAUUCAGGUCAGCUCCCAGCCCGACGCCACCCUGGACGACUUCCUGGCCUGGCGGACUCGCGAGCUGGUGGGCCGGCAGGCGCACGACAACGUGCAGCUCAUCACCGGAGUCGACUUCACCGGGACCACCGUGGGACUGGCCAAGGUGUCCGCCAUGUGCUCCCAGAACUCAGGGGCUGUAAACCAGGACCACAGCCUGAAUCCCAUCGGCGUGGCGAGCACCAUGGCCCAUGAGAUGGGCCACAACCUGGGCAUGGACCAUGACGAGAACGUCGCCAGCUGCUACUGCCCGGUGCCACGGGAGGGUGGCGGCUGUGUGAUGGCGGCCAGCAUCGGCUCCCAGUACCCCAGGAAGUUCAGUCACUGUAGCCGGGCCGACUUGGAGACGUUCCUGGAGAAGCGACGCACAGCCUGCCUGGUGGACACCCCAGACCUUGACCGGCUGGUGGGCGGCCCUGUGUGCGGAAACGGGUUCCUGGAGCGUGGGGAGCAGUGUGACUGUGGCCGCCCUGAGGACUGUCAGAACCGCUGCUGCAACGCCAGCACCUGCCUGCUGGCCGAGGGGGCCGAGUGUGCCCACGGCGCCUGCUGCCACGAGUGCAGGGUGAAGCCGGCUGGAGAGCUGUGCCGCCCCGCGAAGGACCAGUGUGACCUUGAUGAGCACUGUGAUGGCCGGCGGCCCGCGUGCCCUGAGGAUGCCUUCCGGGAGAACGGCACACCCUGCCCAGGGGGCUACUGCUACAACGGGGCCUGCCCGACACCGGCCCAGCGCUGCCAGGACUUGUGGGGGCCAGGCUCGCGGGUGGCAGUGGAGACUUGCUUCCGCUACAGCAUCUCCGAAGGCUGCGGGGCUGGGGUCCCCUUGCAGUCCGGCAGGGUCAACAAGUGCGGCACUCUCUUCUGCGAGGGGGGACAGGACCCCCCGGAAGGCCGACACUGCAUCCUCACCACCCCCUCAGGCACUUGCCGAGCUGUCGUCCAGGAUGGCAGCACUGCGUAUGAGCCGGUGCCCAAGGGCACCAAGUGUGGCGAGGAGCAGGUUUGCUGGGACGGCUUCUGCCGGGGCCUCCACGUGUACAGAUCCAGGAACUGCUCCGCCCGGUGCAACAGCCACGGGGAGUGCGACCACAAGGACCGGUGCCACUGCUUCCCGGGCUGGGCCCCGCCCCGCUGUGCAGAGCCGCUGUCCGACCUGCAUGCAGCUCCUGGGAGCCUCCGAACACGUGUGCUGGUGGGUGUGGGCGCCCUGGUGCUGCUGGUGCUGAUCCUGGCGGGCGUGCUCAUCUACCGCAGGGCCCGGAGCCCGGUCCGAAGGAGGAAUGUGGCACCCAAGACGGCCAUGGGGCUCUCCAACCCGCUGUUCCAUGAAGGGCUCAGCAAGCCUGCGAAAGGCAGGGCUCAGGCUCCCCCCGGGGCCUCCCCAGAGCCGGCCCCGCCCGCCCAGCCCCCCAAGCCCACAGCUUCCUCGGUGACCCCUAAGCGACCGCCCCCUGCUGUAAGCGCCAGCCAUCCCAACAGACUCCAGGCCACCCCCAAAUCUCAGGUUCACGAGGCUCAGAGUGGCCCCCAUGACUCCCGUUUGGAGGCAAAACCAGGCUCUAGGACAAGGGGUCUGAAGAGCCGCCUGAGCCGGGGGCGCGGAACCGAGCCUGAGGCUCAGAGCCUCCGCACCGGCGGUCCCAGGGUGGUCGGGAGGCGCCCCAGGAGGAGGCGCAGAGGCUGCCAGCACCUCCCUGUGACCCCAGGGCUGGGGGAGGGGCCAGAACCUUGGGUCCUCAGCGGGUGGGGGGCAGCUCUGAGCCAGGCCUCUCUGGUGCGGUUGCCCUGGGAGACCCAGGCUCACGCCCGUUCCCUUCAGCCUCCAGGCUCCCUUCAGCCUCCAGCCGCCACGGCCAGACCACCGUCCCCGCUUCCUGUGUACCCCCAGCAGGCCCCGGGCCAGCAGCUCAGACCUGCUCCUCCCGCCAAGCCCCUUCCGGUGCUGAAGCCAAAGCAGGUCAUCAAGCCGACCUGUGCUCCCCCAUUGCCACCCGUCAAGCCUGGAGCUAGAGGGGCCCAGCCUGGACCCACUCAGGUGAGGCCCUCACUGCCAGAUCAGGGCCCACCGGGUGGGGCAGAGCUUGCUCACUUCCCCCACUAGAGGCCAUAACCUCUGCUCUGUACUCUGUCAAAGGGCUUUUCAAUGCUUACUGCUUCUUCUGGCUGCUAACGUCUUUUUCUGCACGUUAGCGUAGCACGUGUAAGCACGGAAGUCUCCUGCUUCUGGAUGGAGAACAGACUUCUUGAUAAAGCAUCAGCUGUUAAUAUCCAGGGCUGUUGCCACUCUGAGCAGUCACGGUUUUGGAUGAAAUGAGGAUCCAAAUUUUGAGAAAAGUGAAAGGAAGUUAAUUCAGUUGUGCUCUUGGUAGCAGAUGGCCUUUACUAUGUUUUUUUCCCUCCCCAAGGAAGCUGUUGACCCGAAGGUUGCUCUGAAACCCCCUGUCCAGAGGAGGUGAUGGGGCAAAGCACCCUGAGGGGCAUCCGUGCACCUGUCUGGAUGUUGCCUGCGGUCUGUGACCUCACCAGCAGCAGCAGCAGAUGCAGCCGCCUGGCCCCAGGCCCUCCACUCCGUCAGGGCCUGAGGACUGUCUGAGCUGUCCUAAAGGAAGCGCUAGCUCUUCUGUGUCUCAAGGUCACAGCCUAGGGCCUCUGGACCGGGACUCCCUGGCUGGGCCGUCAGCUGCUGUCCUGACCUGGGGAAGGAGGCGGGGGGAGGCCAGCCCCUCCUCAACCACGUGUGUCUUCAGACGGCCACUGGUGUCUUAUCUGGGUUCCUGAAAACGGCGCACGUUCAGCAGGGAUCAAAAAUUUAAUAAAAUGUUUACAUUUUACGAUUAAGUUAUUGAU
rnacentral:lncRNA from 1 species